rnacentral:misc_RNA from 1 species
UCUCCGUUGGUGAACCAGCGGAGGGAUCAUUACCGAGUUAUCAACUCCCAAACCCUAGUGAACAUACCCAACGUUGCUUCGGCUGGACCGCCCCGGCCCCCUCGGCGUCCCGGAACCAGGCGCCCGGCGGAGGACCCAAACUCUUGUUUAAACCAUAGUGGCAUAUUCUGAGUCUCACAAGGAAAAUGAAUCAAAACUUUCAACAACGGAUCUCUUGGUUCU